rnacentral:rRNA from 1 species
GAUGAACGCUGGCGGCGUGCCUAACACAUGCAAGUCGAACGGAAGGACGAGGAGUUUGCUUCUCUGACGUGAGCGGAGCGGGGGAGUGAAACAUGUGUAUAAAUCACCUAUGUGUCUGGGAAAAACGCGGGAAAACGGAGCCUACAACGGAUGAUCUCCUGCAGCGCAUGGUUCGAGAGUGAAAGACGGUGUUGGUGUAGGUUAUCGAUGGUUCCGGGCUGCAUUAGCUAGUUGGUAGGGUCACGGCCUACCAAGGCGAGUAUGCGUAGGCGAGCGGAUGGGGUGGUCGCCCACCCUGGAACUGAGACACGGUCCAGACUCCUACGGGAGGCAGCAGUGGGGAAUCUUCGGCAAUGGGCGGAAGCCUGACGCAGCGACGCCGCGUGAGUGAUGAAGGCCUUCGGUUCGUAAAGCUCUUUUAUUGGGGAAGAACAGAUUUCGAAGUAACUGUGCACAGCUUGACGGUACCUAAUCAAAAAGCCCCGGCUAACUACGUG